rnacentral:rRNA from 1 species
UACAGAGGGGGCAAGCGUUAUUCGGAAUUAUUGGGCGUAAAGGGCGCGUAGGCGCUUCGCAAGUCGGGUGUGAAAGCCCUGGGCUCAACCUAGGAAGUGCACUCGAAACUGCGAAGCUGGAGUCCUGGAGAGGAAGGCGGAAUUCGUCGGUGUAGAGGUGAAAUUCGUAGAUAUCGAGAGGAACACCGGUGGCGAAGGCGGCCUUCUGGACAGUGAC